rnacentral:rRNA from 1 species
AGUCGAGCGAACAGACGAGGAGCUUGCUUCUCUGACGUUAGCGGCGGACGGGUGAGUAACACGUGGAUAACCUACCUAUAAGACUGGGAUAACUUCGGGAAACCGGAGCUAAUACCGGAUAAUAUAUUGAACCGCAUGGUUCAAUAGUGAAAGACGGUUUUGCUGUCACUUAUAGAUGGAUCCGCGCCGCAUUAGCUAGUUGGUAAGGUAACGGCUUACCAAGGCAACGAUGCGUAGCCGACCUGAGAGGGUGAUCGGCCACACUGGAACUGAGACACGGUCCAGACUCCUACGGGAGGCAGCAGUAGGGAAUCUUCCGCAAUGGGCGAGAGCCUGACGGAGCAACACCGCGUGAGUGAUGAAGGUCUUCGGAUCGUAAAACUCUGUUAUUAGGGAAGAACAAAUGUGUAAGUAACUAUGCACGUCUUGACGGUACCUAAUCAGAAAGCCACGGCUAACUACGUGCCAGCAGCCGCGGUAAUACGUAGGUGGCAAGCGUUAUCCGGAAUUAUUGGGCGUAAAGCGCGCGUAGGCGGUUUUUUAAGUCUGAUGUGAAAGCCCACGGCUCAACCGUGGAGGGUCAUUGGAAACUGGAAAACUUGAGUGCAGAAGAGGAAAGUGGAAUUCCAUGUGUAGCGGUGAAAUGCGCAGUGAUAUGGAGGAACACCAGUGGCGAAGGCGA